rnacentral:rRNA from 1 species
GUAGUCCACGCCGUAAACGAUGAGUGCUAAGUGUUAGAGGGUUUCCGCCCUUUAAUGCUGCAGCUAACGCAUUAAGCACUCCGCCUGGGGAGUACGGUCGCAAGACUGAAACUCAAAGGAAUUGACGGGGGCCCGCACAAGCGGUGGAGCAUGUGGUUUAAUUCGAAGCAACGCGAAGAACCUUACCAGGUCUUGACAUCCCACUGACCGGUAUAGAGAUAUACCUUUCCCUUCGGGGACAGUGGUGACAGGUGGUGCAUGGUUGUCGUCAGCUCGUGUCGUGAGAUGUUGGGUUAAGUCCCGCAACGAGCGCAACCCUUGAUCUUAGUUGCCAGCAUUUAGUUGGGCACUCUAAGGUGACUGCCGGUGACAAACCGGAGGAAGGUGGGGAUGACGUCAAAUCAUCAUGCCCCUUAUGACCUGGGCUACACACGUGCUACAAUGGAUGGUACAAAGGGCUGCAAGACUGCGAAGUCAAGCGAAUCCCAUAAAACCAUUCUCAGUUCGGGUUGCAGGCUGCAACUCGCCUGCAUGAAGCUGGAAUCGCUAGUAAUCGCGGAUCAGCAUGCCGCGGUGAAUA